rnacentral:lncRNA from 1 species
CAGGAUCAGCCCAGUUCACCAUGUUGUAUUUCACUGUUGAGUCUCAGAGCUUUAAAUUUCUGGGGCUCUGUAGGAGUCAGAUCAAUGUUCCCCCCCCUUUUGCAAAUGUGGAAGUGAGUUAGAUAACUUCAUCAUGUUGUCCAAAGCCAUAGCAGGGCAGUGUCCGUGACGGAUUUAUAACUGUGGAGUUAGGGACUCCCGAUCCAGUGCUCUCAUGAGAUCACUCUGCCUGUCCUCCCCGUGUUCAGCCCAGAUGUUACUCGGGAUAAUUCCUCCCUCCAAACAAACAACAAAGUUCCUGCUAAUGCAGAGUCUGGACGUUGGGACGAGAUGUCAGCCUCGUCAUGAGGAUGAGGAUUAUUAUGGAAGACAGACACCGUGUGAGUACGAAAUUAUCUUCACAAUUCACAGACCAGCAGAUAAAUACACUUGCUUCCUCCCAAAAUAUGUAACAAAAAAGCCUUCCUUGGACUCUCUCCAGCAUGGAGCCGGAAAUUGCUCAUCAAGGGAAGAGCUCAGGCGAGGAUGUUGUCGAUGGCUUUUUGUGAAUAAAGCAUUUAGUUCUGAAGGGAGCGUGUCAUCUCCUGCCCAGUGCUCGAGUAGAACAGCCAUUGUGCUCGCUGGCACUCCAUCAAACUGCUUCUUGGGCAUCGUUAUUGGAGCAGCUGAAAUGUCUAACAGUGAGCACAACCAAGACUUCCAGAUGGUGGAGCAAAUGGAAGAGACGGGCGAAAGAAAAGCUGGCGAUGGAAAAGGUCCAGAGUUCAACCCAAGUGGAGGCAAGGAGUCCCCAUCUGUGACUUCUGAGUCUACUCCCUUCCCAAAUUCUUAUGUCAACCAGCAUGCCAUGAGGAAAUUCUUUGUUACAAGGGUAAGCAAACCCCACCCCUGUUUGCGUCCCUGAGGGUACAUCUACACUACAGCGGGGAGUCGAUUUAAGAUACGCAAAUUCAGCUACGUGAAUAGCGUAGCUGAAUUCGACGUAUUGCAGCCGACUUACCCCGUUGUGAGGACGGCGGCAAAAUCGACUUCUGCCGCUUUUUGUCGGCGGCGCUUACUACCACCUCUGCUGGUGGAGUUAGAGCGCCGAUUCGGGGAUCGAUUGUCGCGUCCCGACGGGACGCGAUAAAUCGAUCCCGGAGAGGUCGAUUUCUACCCGCCGAUUCAGGCGGGUAGUAUAGACCAGAC